rnacentral:misc_RNA from 1 species
GAUGAAGAACGCAGCGAAAUGCGAUAAGUAGUGUGAAUUGCAGAAUUCCGUGAAUCAUCGAAUCUUUGAACGCACAUUGCGCCUUCUGGUAUUCCGGAAGGCAUGCCUGUUCGAGAGUCAUUAACAACCGUUUCGAUCCCUUUCUUUCAGAAAUUACAAAGAGGAAAAGGGUUUGGUUAUGGUGGAGGAUGGAAAGGGAGCGUUUAGCCUGUAAAAAAAGAGGCUGUGUUCCGCCUCCCCCCCAAAAUUGUACAGGCGGUCGUGUGCGCCCACGCAUCGAGGUGUUGUAAAAGCUGCCACGGCACUUUUCACCUGUGCAGUGCGAGAUUGGCCAGCCGGUUUAAAAACCCCUCCAAACAAUCAAAGGUUGACCUCGGAUCAGGUAGGGAUACCCGCUGAACUUAAGCAUAUCAAUAAGCGGAGGA